rnacentral:rRNA from 1 species
AUGAACGCUGGCGGCGUGCCUAGUACAUGCAAGUCGAGCGAACGGACGAGAAGCUUGCUUUUCUGAUGUUAGCGGCGGACGGGUGAGUAACACGUGGAUAACCUACCUAUAAGACUGGGAUAACUUCGGGAAACCGGAGCUAAUACCGGAUAAUAUUUUGAACCGCAUGGUUCAUAAGUGAAAGACGGUCUUGCUGUCACUUAUAGAUGGAUCCGCGCUGCAUUAGCUAGUUGGUAAGGUAACGGCCUACCAAGGCAACGAUGCAUAGCCGACCUGAGAGGGUGAUCGGCCACACUGGAACUGAGACACGGUCCAGACUCCUACGGGAGGCAGCAGUAGGGAAUCUUCCGCAAUGGGCGAAAGCCUGACGGAGCAACGCCGCGUGAGUGAUGAAGGUCUUCGGAUCGUAAAACUCUGUUAUUAGGGAAGAACAUAUGUGUAAGUAACUGUGCACAUCUUGACGGUACCUAAUCAGAAAGCCACGGCUAACUACGUG